ACGGUCAAAGCCUUUUCUAAUAUGUAUGUGUUUAUCUUUCCUAUUUUAAAUUACAUUUUAACGGUGUCUUCUAUGAGGGGCCUGAAUUACUUGCCACCUUAAUACAAAAAGGUUCGAAACCUUUCCUAAGUUAGCUAUAAAAAAAUACCUUAUUUUAUCUAAUAUGUGUGAGGCCUGAAGUUUCCUUUUCACAUAAUGAAAUGUGCGUCUUUUGUGAUGGGACCAAUGUCCUAAUACUUUCAUAUUGUUCUCUUUUAUUUCAAAGGUAUGUAAGGAUUUCAUUUGCUCUGAGCACACAGAUGUAGUAAGUCAUUCAUCUGGGGUGGAGGAUAGACAUCACCCACACAAAGUCUUUGCACAACACUGGUCUGAUUAGAGUUCCACUUGCGCCAUGGGCACACAGGAUAGUGACAGAUGUAGCUGUCAGAGGCUCACUCCCUGCUUUAUCUGAUAGGGCAAGGCUGCACAGGGAGCGUCCAACAACUAGAGUAGUCCUGUCAGAACCCACAGGUGCCUCUGGGGCAAAGAAGGGGGCAACAAGGGUGCCUUUCCUCUAAAAUCAAGCAGGCUGAGAAAAACUAAGAAGCUCCUUCUCCAUCAUCACUGUAGCACUUCUACCACUCUAAUCCUCGGAAGCAGUGUCCACCUCCGGUGGUGGUACAAUCCACAGACCAUCAUGGAUGUAACUGCCUUUUGCUCCAAAGGACACAGGACAAGAGGUUGGAAGAAGCAUUUCCUUGGGACCCAAAGAAGGGUUAGGCAUAACAGUGGAUCUUUAGGGAUUACAUGCUACACUGUACACUGUGGAGCAUCAGACAACAGAUCUAUUCAUCCAUUCUCUGCUUCGGUUCAUUACAUUUCUAUCUACUCAUCAUCCAAGUUAAACCUUGUAAGUAUCAUUUAUUCUUUCAUUCUUCAAAUAUUUGUUGAAUAGCAGCAAUGUCUCAGACCAGAUGCUAGGCACAGGAGAUACAGUGGGGCUAAGACAGACAAGGAGCCUUCGUUCCACUAGAGAAAGAUAAUAAGCUUUAUGAAUUAGUUAAUCAAACAAGAUAAUUUUAGCUAAUGAUAAGUACUGUGGAGGAAAUAAACUGGGUGAUGACAAGUAGAGUCCAAUUUAAAUAGCCUUCUCUGAGGAGGUGACACAUGAGCUGAGACUAGAAGAGCUUGGAGCAGAAUAUUCCAGGCAGAGGGAAUGACAAAUUAAAGGAUUAGAGUGAGGAAAAGUUCAACGUGUUUGAAGAACAGCCUGGGGAGUGAGGUGGUGUGAAUAGGCAAGAGUCAGUAUACACAUAGACUUGGUAGUGAUGGUAAAGAAUUUAUUAUAAAAUCAUGGGAAGCCAUUUAAAGCAUACAAGUAGGGGAUUGGCUUGAUCUGAUAGUCCUGUUAGAGAGGGACAAGAUUGGGAGCAGAAUGACUCAUCAUAAGGAGUCCAAGCAGCAGAUAAUGGUGUCUUAUUCCAAAGCAGUAGAAAUGCAGACCUGUGAUAUACGUUGGAGGUAUAACUGGUAGGUCUCAAUAAUAAAUAAGAUGUGGUCGGUAGCAGUGGUGUGCUGGAACAGACUCUCAGUAGCUCAUGUGAGCUGAGUGCAAGCAUUUCCUUCCAACUCUGGAUUCAGUGAUGAAAUGACACCUGGCUUAAUCAGCCAUGGAGGGAGUAUCUAUGAUGUAUCAUAAAGAUUGGCAAAUGCUACAAAUAAGGCCUUCCACCCUCUUAUCCCCAGACUCAGUUGAAUAUUACCCACACAUCCAUGGCAGGGAGGGAAAGGAGAAUAAUCAACAGUUGAUUUGGACACAAAUGUUUGAGUCACCUAUUGAGUCCUCCUGCUCCUUCAUGCUCAUCAGGUUUUCAAAUUCUACCAAUUACUUUUCAAAUCUAUCUCUUCACUUUCUCAACAUCUGAUGGACUGUUCACAGCCUCUUUCUUGCACUAUUUCUUGCACUAUCUCUUUCUUGCACUAUUAAAAAAACUUCCUGGUUUCUCUGUAAAGAGUGUUGCCACCUCAAAUUCAUCUUUCAAACAUCAAAACAAAAUUAUCUAAACUACAAAUAUAAUCUCAUUACUCUUAGGUUUAUUAUCAUUUAAACUGUUUGUGUAUAGGAAAAGUUCAAGCUCCUUAAAAUUAUGUCCCAAGGCCUUUAUCCCUGAAUUCUAUUAUCUGGUACUCCCCGUCUUAAACUUGACCAACAUUCAACUGCUUCUUAUUCCAUAUACAUACCAUGCUACUUCUCACCUUCAGGAUAUGCUUUUAAAUGUCUCCACUAUGGGAACUGUUAUUCCAUCCUCAACUGGCAACUGGCACACAUAGAUCAUCUCUUUGGGAAGUCUUCCAUGAUUACUUCCUCCCCACACUGGCUAGAUUAUGAGGACUAACAUCUGGGCUCUUAGCCAUUCACCGCACUUAUUUCAUUGUGUUGAAAUUACUGUAUGUAUUGCUGUAUCUGUCUUUCCCUCUAGACUAUGAGAAACUUCGAGGCAAGGAUAGCACCUGACAUACAUAGCAAAUUCAACAAAUGUUGAAAUUCAAUGAAUGUUUGUUGAAUGAACAAAUGAAUUUGUUAAUAUUUAUAUAUUGCAUACAUUUCAGCCUUUUCUAGUAGGCCACAGACAUCCCCAGUCAAAAUGAAGAGAUUUUCUGUUUUCAAUGCACUCCAUCAGAUCUCUGCCUUCAUAUUGUCAUUUAGGUUGUUGUGGAGGUUAAUAUCGUCAAUAUCAUCAUUAUUGCAACAUGUAUUGGGUUCCAGAGGCAGAGGCAGUGAGAUUAAUUCAUUUGCCAAGGUCAUACAGUAAGUAAAGAGACAUUUAUGAUCACUUACUACACUUUAUUAUGCUCAUUUUUUUACUUAUCUUUACUAUACUGUCAAUUCUUAGAUGAUUGUGCCUGAAUCGGAGUCAGCUUUGAAUAAUAACAAAAAUACUAGCAACCAAUAUUUAUUGAGUACUCAUACUACUUUAUAUGGCUGACCUCAUUUAAGGCAUUACAACAUGUGUAUGCUGUAGGUGCUAUUAACAAACCUACUUUAUAAUAAGAUAUAUAUUCAACCUACUUUACAGUAAAACGUAUAGUAGUUAUUUCUUUAAGAUAAAUUCCCAGAAUUGAAAUUACUGCAAAAGGUUAUAAUUAUUUUUUCACUUUUAAUUUAUUAUUUAUGAUUUUAAAAAUAAUCUUCAUUUUUAGAACAUUUUUGGAUUUAAAUAGAAAUUGCGAAGAUAAAAUAGUUCUCAUAUACCUCACACCCAUUUUUCCUUAUUAUUAACAUCUUACAUUAGGAUAGUACACACAUCACAGUUACUGAACUAAUAUUGAGUCUGCACUUUAUUCAAAUUCCCAUAGAUUUUACCUAAAGUUCCUUUCGUUUCCAGGAUCCCCUCCAGAAUACUAACUACAUUAUUUUAGUUUUCAUGUUUCCUUAGGCUCCUCUUGGCUAUGAUAGUUUCUCAGACUUUAUUUGUUUCUGAUGACCUUUAUCAUUUUUAGGAGUAUUAAUUAUACAUUUGUAGAAAGUAUUGGGAACUUGUCUGAUGUUUUCACAUGAUUAGACUGGGGUUGUGAAUUUGGGGAAGAAAGACCACAGAGGUAAAUUGUUAUUUUCAUCAAAUCAUAU
ensembl:lncRNA